UGGGGAAUAUUGCGCAAUGGGGGGAACCCUGACGCAGCCAUGCCGCGUGAAUGAAGAAGGCCUUCGGGUUGUAAAGUUCUUUCGGUAUUGAGGAAGGUUGAUGUGUUAAUAGCACAUCAAAUUGACGUUAAAUACAGAAGAAGCACCGGCUAACUCCGUGCCAGCAGCCGCGGUAAUACGGAGGGUGCGAGCGUUAAUCGGAAUAACUGGGCGUAAAGGGCACGCAGGCGGUUAUUUAAGUGAGGUGUGAAAGCCCUGGGCUUAACCUAGGAAUUGCAUUUCAGACUGGGUAACUAGAGUACUUUAGGGAGGGGUAGAAUUCCACGUGUAGCGGUGAAAUGCGUAGAGAUGUGGAGGAAUACCGAAGGCGAAGGCAGCCCCUUGGGAAUGUACUGACGCUCAUGUGCGAAAGCGUGGGGAGCAAACAGGAUUAGAUACCCUGGUAGUCCACGCUGUAAACGCUGUCGAUUUGGGGAUUGGGCUUAGAGCUUGGUGCCCGUAGCUAGCGUGAUAAAUCGACCGCCUGGGGAGUACGGCCGCAAGGUUA
rnacentral:rRNA from 1 species